AUUUUUUUGUUAAUUUAUUUUAAGUAAGACCUGCCCAAUGACUUUUGUUAAAUGGCUGCAGUAUUUUAACUGUACGAAGGUAGCAUAAUAAUUUGUUUAAUAAUUUUAGACUUGAAUGAAAGGUUUUUUUAGAUUUAAUCUUUCUUUAUAUUAUUUAUGAGAAUUAAUUACAUCAGUUAAAAAACUGAUAUAAUUUUAUGGGACGAGAAGACCCUGUAGAGUUUUAUAUUUCUAUAAAACAUAUUUUAUAGAAAUAUUGUGUUGGGGGGAUAGCAAUUAAUAUAAACAAUUUUUUUUUAUUUCAUUGAUUUAUGAUUUUUUGAUCCAAUUGUUUUGAUUAUAAGAUAAAACUACCUCAGGGAUAACAGCGUAAUUUAUUUGGAGAGUUCUUAUUGAAAAUUUAAGUUUGCGA
rnacentral:rRNA from 1 species